GACGUAGGGUGCGAGCGUUGUCCGGAUUUAUUGGGCGUAAAGAGCUCGUAGGCGGCUCGUCGCGUCGACCGUGAAAACCCGCGGCUUAACUGCGGGCUUGCGGUUGAUACGGGCGGGCUAGAGUUCGGUAGGGGAGACUGGAAUUCCUGGUGUAGCGGUGAAAUGCGCAGAUAUCAGGAGGAACACCGGUGGCGAAGGCGGGUCUCUGGGCCGAUACUGACGCUGAGGCGCGAAAGCGUGGGGAGCGAACAGG
rnacentral:rRNA from 1 species